CAUGCAAAUUGAAUGGUUAUGCCGUUGACUGUCUUCGGCAUAACCAUCUAAGUAGAAUGGUUAUGCCGAAGACAGUCAACUGCAUAACCAUCCAA
rnacentral:miRNA from 1 species